UAAAGGAAUCCUAACCACGAGUGAAUCUCUGUGUUGCCUCUUUCAUUCCCCCGGUUCCCCUCCUUUCUUUGCUCCCUUUGUUUUCUUCUUCUUCUUCUUUUUUUCUAUCUCAGGUGAAUUGUAAUCAUGUGAUCAAAACGAGCACCCUCUUCUCCCUUAAAUUAAAAAAAAAAGAACUGUGGGACAAAAAGCAGUUCUGUGUCUAUAAAAAAAGAAAAGAAAAUUGUGGAAAACGCUUGUGUCUCCCCCAUCUACCGCCACUCUUUGUCCGAGUCUCAGUCUGUGGCAUAUAAGGGAAAAAAUGCUCCAGGAGCGCCGAGGACACAACCCGGGGAGCUGUGCUGGGACUUCCCGGCUCCUGAAGCUGUAAAUCGAGGACCUGCGGAGAGAGACACUCCGGGAUUCCCCCCCCCUCCUGUGCAGCUGAGGAUUUGCGGCCCGGCCUCGGGUUGACGUCACUGGAUCAAGAGGAAUUGCAGUCUGUAAGAUAUCAAACUCCAUCUGGUUAUUGUCCAUGUCAAGAACACACAUGACAUUGUGACUGCCUGAAGUCACGGUCGAGUUGUCGUGGAACAUAUUUUGGAAGUCAACAGAAACUGAAGUCCUUCUCUCCUCUGCCCUCUCCUUCCCUACAAUCUGAGAAGAGUCAAAUAUAUCAUCCUCUUCCUCCCCACAGCUCAAUGCCACCUCGUUCUCAUAGCAGAAAGCGUUAAGUGACAUGGGGAUCAAGUCUUUUGUCGCUCUGCAUGCAGACGCAGGAGAAGCAGCGGAAGAAGCCAUGCUCGCAGCUUCAUCCAGCUCUUUGGCGCUGAGAUGGGGCAUUGACGGCACCUCGUAUGUCUUGUGAAAGCGUGCGUAGUCUACCUUGUAGCGGUCACGGUCCUCGUAGAUCACAGGCUCAAACCUGUGGCCCCAGAAGAUCUCUCUGGAAAGGUAGGAGCUACGGAACUGGGUGGUCAUGGCUGUGGCCUCCACCAUUCCCUCCAGGAUCACAACGACCUCAAAGUCAUCUGCCUCCAGAUCAGCUCGGCUCAGAGUAUACAAGGGGCUAUCUUUGUCUAUCUCAUGGACUAUAACCAGUGGAGAUACUAGAAACAGCCUGUCUGUGCCCUCAUCAUAGCCCACAUUGAGGUCCAUCUGCUCUAAAGGGAUGAAUUCGCCCUCAGCUGUGACAUACGACCGUAUGAGCUGGGCACGGACGUGAGCCUCCACAAUGUGGCUCUUCCGCAGGUUCCCCACCCUCCACAUGAGGCACAGCUUGCCAUCACGCAGCGCAAUGACAGCAUUUUUGGAGAACAUGAGGGUCUGGUUCCUCUUCUUUGGCCGAGCCAUCUUGGCCAUAAUGGUGCCAAUCAUGAAAGAGUCAAUGAUGCAGCCUACUAUGGACUGUAUCACCACUGUUAUUACAGCAACAGGGCACUCCUCGGUAACACAGCGCCAUCCGUAACCAAUAGUAGUUUGGGUCUCCAUGGAGAACAGGAGCGCCCCAAUAAACCCCUGAACGUGAAGGAUGCAGGGCAUCCUUUGUGCUUGCUCUCCAGUUGUAUGACCAGAUGUGGCUCCGUGCAGACCUCCAGGUGUCAGUCCAUCACCCUUCAGUGUAGGGUGCUCUUCAAAGUCCCCAUGUGCCAGGGCAACAGUGUAAAAGAUUAAACCAAAAAACAGCCAGGAGACAAGAAAGCUGGUGCAGAAUACAGCCAACAGGUAUCUCCAGCGGAUGUCCACACAGGUGGUGAAGAUGUCAGCUAGAAAGCGCUGCCCCUUUUCUUCCAUGUUGGUGAACACAACGUUACAUUGUCCAUUUUUCUUCACAAAUCGGCUCCGUACUUGGUUGGAGCCCCUUGUCAGAACCUUUCCGUUGUAGUUGUUCAUCACUCCUUGCUCCGUCGUGCUGGGCACGAUAGCGGAGGUUCCUGACCUCCUCCUGUCUUCUCCUUCUGAGGUGCAGGCCAAGUGCAGUCUGAAUCUGGGUGAACUGUGGCCGUUAUGGAGUCCUAAGCUAGAAAUCUUUUGCCUUUCUUCCUCUGGUAAAGUAUCAGACACAAUGCUGUACCUGUCAGGAAAAAAAGGGACUUGGAUUAAAAAUUGUAUUUUUUUUCUUUUAUUCUUAGUUGAUUGUGGCGUACUGUGCAAAACUCUUUUCUUUAUCUGUUGCUUCCAAUUAGCUCCAGAAUUUCCAAUUCCAAUUUUUGAAGGGGUGUUGAGAAAUAGUUCUCUGGGUUUCUGAAGCUCUUUUCAAAGUUUGUCCUUAGACAUUGGCUGCUUUUUUUUACUCAUUCUCAGUCCAGUCAGAUUGGAAGGUCAGCAUCAAGUAACAUUUAUGACUCCAGUCAUAAAACAAAACAUAUAUUGAACUCAGAGUCACAAAUGGUCUACUUAAAUUGACCAAACUCAUCUUCACCUGAGUGUAUCAGCAUCUCCUUUACAUAGAGGAUUACCUGCUAGGAAGGUGAGUUCAAUUUAGCUGCGUGAGAAGGAUCGCUGUCAUCACAGAUUAUAGGAUUAUACGUGACUCAGUGUCAGUCAGACAAAUCAUUUUGGGAUGGACAUGCCUGUACUGUGGGGGCACUUCAUCAUAUGUAAAUGAGUGUUAACACUCUAUUAAUCAUUCAUUGACCCACUGACACUUGAGAGCUCUGUUUGAGAGAUGCUAAGUUUAUGUUGACAAUGACAAAUCGAUGUUAUGUGUUGUUUUUCUUGGGUGGGGAUGUGAGCGGUUGUGGUGCUGGGGGUAAACAUCAUGCUGAUUCGCAAGACACAAAACUGUAAGACAAAAUGAAAUCCAUAAGAACCGCCUUGGUAUAUUUAAGUCACAACAAGCAGUUAAAGAAGAAAGAAAUUAGGUGUUGUGUGUUCAAAAAAUAAGGUGUCCGACUAUUGAUUUACACACAGAAUGGAAAAAAAUGAACAUAGUGCAUAAUACAUCAAGGCAACCUCCUUCUUCACUGUGCGAGGCCUGCUGCAGCUACCUGAAGCCGAGAGCUCUUCAUGUGCAGCUGGUCAGGACAGCGUAGGACGGCCUUGGCCUUUUCUAAGGAUCUGCUUACUGUAAAUAUCCCUGAGCUGGUCCUGACUCACCCUGCCAACCCAAAUUAACAAGCCCAUUCUCACCGGACGGUUGGAUACUUCUAAACCAACCAACGUUCAAAUUAAAAAAGGAUGAAAUUGUUUCAGUGAACGCAGCAGUCUUUGAUCCUCUACAAAUUAGUCAGGAAAUAAUGAGAUGAAGCUGAGAAUUCAAAGAUAGCUGCCCAAACAGAGCUGAUACAGUAAUAAUGAGAUGCUACAGUUCCAGCAACACCAAGUAAAACGAGUUCAGGCUGAUAUUACUGGGCUCACCUGUUGGCUCUACUUGUUCCCAUGGCACCAGUGAUCACAGGUAGAGGGCCACAGUGGGAGGCCAAACUGUGUCCUACUCCCAAACAUCUGGUCUCUUCACAGCAGGUGGUUUUCAGGCCACUGAAGAGACCCCUGGAAGAAGCAUAAAAUUCAACAGAAACUGUCAUGUGAUGGUUGCUGUCUUGCUUUUUUAAACCAACCUCACCACAUUUAAUAUUUUGCAUAAUAGUAAUAAUGCAUGAGUGGAAAAUCUGAGGAAUAGUAGUCUAUGCAUGGUUUUGGUUUUGUGAGUUAAAAUGUGGUUCCCAUGAGGAUGCAUAAGUGUAACAGACAAAGCAAAAAGAAGUCAUCUGAAGUUUUAAAGACUGACAAAGACAUCAACCACAGCCUGGCAUCGCACACUGAAGAAGGCAGCAUAUUUUGUUUAAUUUAAGGAGCGUUUUCUUUCUUUUUAAUUACAGAAAAUGGACUGAAACUGAAAACCUGUGCCUUUUUUCCCAAGACAUCCCAGGCUUGUUGUCAUUUGCUUUGUUAUCAAAUGCUAAUGCUGAUAAAAUGCACCUCUACUUCUUUACAAUAAAAAAAACUGAUUUCUUUUUUCUUUUUUUAAAAGUUUUAGUCCACUUGCAAUCACAUGAAGGGAUCUGUGGCCUAUGAACUAAAAUGAGUUUGACAGAUACUUUGGCAACCUAGCAAAAUUACAUGUUACAAACCUGAUUGCAGCCAGUGUGUUAUAUUACUGCUACACCCAGACCAAGAGAUCAAGGAUAGUAGCAUGAACUUACCUCCCACCCCUCCAAGACUCACAUACCUUACUAUGACACAGUUUAUUUGCAUUUUGUGUUCACCAUUGUGCUUUUAUUUUCUCAGAAGCUUUUCAGACUUAAUGAAAUCCAGUCAGACAAGUCAUUUGAAAUUUUUUGAACAAUGCGUUUACUAUUAAACUCUCUCUUUGUAUCUAUUUAGCACAUCUGCAAUGUCAGAGAGCUGUUUGUGAGACUAUUCGUAUCUUAUGCAUCUUUAAUUGAAAAUAAAAGUUUAUGCAGUUAUUUGUUUAAGACAUAUGGGGCCCGAUCUAAAGGCGCAAAACUGUCUAUAUCUGUCUAUAGUGUAGCUUAUAUCAAUAAUAUAACACUAUAUCGGGCAUCAGAAUCAAAUGCAUGUGUUGAGCUGAGGUUUUUUUUUUACGUGAUUUCUAGUUCAAAAUAUAGUAAAAUAAGAGAAUAAAUUAGCAAAGUGACACUGACUUUUCUUGAAUUUUCAGGUGUCACAUGAAACUGUAUUUUUGUUUCUCUGUAAGACGGGGUCGGAGGCUUUAAUCAUUUCUCCUAAUCAACCAGAGAGUUCACUGGAAAACACAUACACAUAGAGAAAUGUCUGUAAGUGCUGAUUGCAGGGAUUCGAUUUUUAAUAAGUAGUGUGUGUCUGCCUCCACUCAGGCUAACUUCCAGCUAACAGCAUGAUUUUGCAGAUCUCCUAGCUUGUGUCUGUUUCAGUGAGCCAGCAGUGUAUAAGCUCUAAGGCUUCCCUUUGAGUGCAAAAGGUUUCUAAGCUGUAAUGAACAGGAGGGCUGGCAGAGUGCAGGUACCAAAGUGUUGAAGCAGUGAUGAGACACACACAAUACAAACCAGUUAAUGGUCACCACCUAAAACUGGGGAUUUUUUUUUCUGGUGUCAGUUUCCAUAGGAACACAUCUCCUCUGGCAUUUAGGGGAUGGAGGGAAGUGGAGAGAGUCACCAGCUGUGUGUGUGCAUGGAGGGGGGCAGUAUACAGUAUUAAGUGCUCUUAUAAAAUGACUCAGAGAGGGAGGGAGGGGUGGAAUGAGAGAAAGGGUGCAAGGGCAGGAACACAACAGCUACAUGUGACUUUAAAUAUGUUUAAAUGGGCGCUAAGAGGUGACACUCAGUGCAGGCUUUUGAUCUGCAUCACUGAGUGAAAACACAAAUGAGGACGAGAGGAGCCCUGCAGAGUUUGGAUGUUUUACUUUUGCCUGCCUAUUUCCCAAAUAAGUUCAUACUGCACUGAGGGCAAUAGAACCACACUGAUCACAAAAAUAUGAAUGAUAAAAUUUCAAAAAGACAUAUUUUCUCGCAUUUUACAUUUUUAGCAUAUGUCUGGAAAAUAAUCCAGAUUAAAACGUUAUAAGAAGGAAGAGUCUCUGUUAAAGCUUGUGUAUGAAUUGUGCAAAUAUAGGGUAUGUUUAUGGUUUCGUUUCCUCACAUAUGAGGAUUUAGUUCUUUUUUUUGCCUUUUUUUAAACAUGCAAAAUCAAACGUACCUUUUGAAUUGAGAUAUUUGGUCUAAUUACGAUAUUCAAUUGUAGAUUAAGGGUGCCAUUAUCUGACUCAUUCAUAUUGAAGUAAUUUUUGGUUGGAACCCUGCUGUAAUUAUGAAUAUAUUGUUUGUGUGUAUGUUUGUAUAUAGCACAUUUUGCACAUGCAAAUGCAGACAUGUGACUUCGCAACUUGGGGACUUUCUGGCUAUUAGACUCAGCAAAGAUUAAAAAAAGAGGUAAGUGAGCUGGGUGAUAAGAAGGAAAUUAGGAUGCUCAAGUGUUCAUUUCCCCGAAAGCUUUUGAUAAUGGCCCCUGAUGAGAUAAACGACAUUGUCAGCCACUAAGAAAAGUAAUAUUUUCAGUGCGAAUGCCAGAGCUUUAUAUCAGAUGUCAGACAUGCUUUAUAUCAGAUACAGCCUCAGAUGAAGCAGUCAUCAUGCACAAGGAUCUUGAUCGCUGGUCAUCAUGCGUUGAUUGUUGAAAACAGGAAAGUGGCUUCAGUGUCCUUAAAAGACUUUGUGAACAAAUGCAAAUGACAUUGCAUAUAAAUGUUUUCUGCAUGAAGACAAAAUUAGAAGUAAACUGAAAACUACUCAAAUACAACAAGCUAACCUUCAAACUCUGUAUAUACAGGAACUAUUUUUCAAUUGUUGCCUUAAACUAUCGUUUGUAUUCACUGUUGUGGAAUUUGAUUAUUCAGGUUUUGAUCAAUAACUUUGAUAAUCUUAUCAAAAAGACUGUUUUUAGUUAGUCAUCCCACUUCUCUUUGCUUCUCUUUCUUCUGUGAAAGCUAAUCAAUACAUACCCUGGUUUCACCUCAGUACCUACAGAGCAUCAGCAGUAGCCAUGAAGAGAAUUAUUCCCACGCUAUCUUCACAUCCCAGACAUCCUCCAUCUUGGCUUCAAUUCAGAUUUGUUUGGGGUUUUUUUCCUAUUUUGUCCUAUUUUAAUUUUUGCAUAACAUAUUGUAUUUUCUGGUUCACGAUUCAGGCCGGUUAUACAAACUGACCACAUGAUCAUUUUGCAACACAUCGGGUUGAAAGUGAUGACAAAGUUUUAAAAGUAGCAAUGACACUUAGUCACAGGUCACAUUUACCUUGAUCCCGCCUAACUUCUCUUUAUUCUCAUGAGCAGAUAGAGAAAGGUCGCUAUGGCGACUGCUCAUCUGCAGCAGCUCAAGUCUAUUGACCGUUUAAAGUUAGUUGUCUGAUAUCUCAGUCAUGCCUCUGAACAAUGUAGUGAGUUUUUUUGGAAUAAAAUGUCUCACUACAGUUUAUUCAAUUUAACUGACCUAAAGGAUUACCAGCGUUUAUUAGCCUGACGAGACUAGGUCACAGUGAUGUAAUCGAGGAUAAUUAAUCAAUUUGUCCUUCAUACAAACUAAGAAGUUUUAUUUUAUAUUAAAGUUCCUGCACACUGUUGUCCACAUGUUUAGCAUUUUCUGCAAAAGAAAAUGUGUUUGCAUCAUUAUGAAGAUUGUGUCAGAGGAUCCCUUCAACUUCUUCCAUCUUUGUGGAGCCAUCAGUGGAUAAUUUAUUCCCUUUUCCUUCACUUUACUCUGCAGAUGUGGAAGAUACAAUGAGGCUGUUCCUCUCCUUUUUCUGAAGGCUCCAGAAACAAUGAUUCCCUUCUGAUGAGAUUGCAUAAAAACAUAAGACAGUUCGCUCUCACUCUGCGGGGCAAAGCUCCAACGUCCUUAAGUUCAUAAGGUGUGUGAC